GGAAACUGAGUCUGCAAGAGUUUAAUAAGGAAGAGAAGCAGAGGCAUAGGUGAGAGAAUAGCAAUAAACCAGGGAUGAGGGGAGCCCUGGUGACAAAGAGGACACUGGAUUCUCUCUGUGGUCAAGGAGAUGGCAGUGAGAGGGGUAAAUUCACUUAGUUACCCAACUUCCUCUUAGGAGAGUACAGUGUCAAGGGUGACAAGCCUCACCUGGCUGAGAGUGAGGUUUGUUUGGGCCCCAUUGUCAUAGCAACAAGGGAAUGUUUGGUAACAGAGCCAGUGACUUCACAGAAGCUGGUCUUAAUUCCACAUUUCUGAAGCUCAGGGAAGAGCAGAGCCAGCCAGGAGAGAAUGUGGAGGCAGAGGAAGACAAUAGUUCCCUUGGAAGAGCUGUGACUACGAGAAAAGUACUGUCCUGUAUCCUGGAGGGACACCAGAUGGAACCAAAAGACCAUGUUAUUUAAGUCAAUCAAUCAAAAACUAAAACCUUAAUUUACAAUGAAAAAAGUUUUUAAAAAAAAUAAACAAUCUAAAUGACUACUUUCCUGAGCCUGU
rnacentral:lncRNA from 1 species